UACUGCUGCCAUUUAUCUCGGAAUGUAAGCAGGUUCAAUCCUGCUGUGUAGCUGGAUGGGAUACUGCCUAGGAAUACCAGGUGUUGUAGGCU
rnacentral:rRNA from 1 species